UUGUGUGUAUAUAUAAAAAUAUACAUCUCACAUUUCUCAGCAACCGACAAUAUACUGUUGAAUACCGGUAACCUCAUUCAUUGUACAAACCACAUCCUCCGGGUUUUGGAGAAGAGAGGCCACUGCUUGAAUCAAAAAAAGGUGACUUGAAAAAGUUGCUAGCUGCUCCUUUAAGACACAUGUAUGAUUUCAUCCGGAUGUGUUUUUGAGGGUUGAAAGCAAUCCUUUGAAUUAAAAUCGAAAGUUAUUAAUGCCAAGUAAACAUGUGAAAAACUCAAGGGACUAUGCCUAUGAUUUACCUCUAGAAGAACGGUGCUUGAUGGCUUGAUGAAAGACCCAGGUCAUUUGGAUUGAAGUGGCUACUCCUUGGAGUGUGUGUGUGUGUGUUUAAAAAAAUCAGUCCAUGGUAAUAGGUUUGCCAUGCACUGGUCAUAUACUAAAUUUGGGUGCUCACUGUCAAAUACGGAGGAGAGGCCAAAGCAGACAUCUGUAUUUCAGAUGCCCCAAGCAAAAUGGAGAUGUUAGGCACGUCAAAUAAAAAAAAUUAUACAUUUACGCUGAGCUUCAGAUGUACAUGGAAGUGCAGCAUACGAUGGACUCCCUAUUCAUCUUAAUGGUUCCAUUGCUGUAAACACGCCAGCAAUGGUGUGAAGAAUAUGCAUUCGGUGUCUAUGGGAUCAUUUGGAAGGGAUUCCUGCACUGAGCCAGCUGACCAUAAUUAAGUGUUGCAUAAAUUUCAAGUGGCUUUCAUUAGGUGUGGUACAUGUCGAAUGGUUGUAUGUGUGUAGCUGUCAUCUUUUCAUUUUUAUAUACUUUUCUGUUGACUGGUAAUCCAUUAACAUUUUCAAUAGGGCUCUUAAGUCCAGUAGAUUACGGGUAGUCAGUUGACAAAGAUCUGGUUUACAAAAACUAAUUACGUAUUUCAUUGCAUUUUGUAAGUACGUAGAAUAAUUUUUAUAAAAAAAUGUUCGUAGUUUAUAAACGCCUACAGAUAAUUUAAGGGCACUUUUCUGUGUGUGUGUGUGUGUACGUGUGUGUAUCAAAGGCUCCCCCCCUUUUUUUUCUUUUUAGAAAAACAGGUUUUAGUAGUUAGCUUUCCAGUAUGCCAAAAAAGAAACACCCUCUAUC
rnacentral:lncRNA from 1 species